CAGGUUUGAUCUUUCUCAAAAGUUUUCAUUAUCAUUUUAUUUAAAAGUGUUUUCAGUUCUUGCUUAGCUCGAUUACUUAUGUUAAUUUCUUAUUUUAAAGCUUCAUUUUUGAAAAUGCUUUUUGAGUCUAUUUGUCAGAAGUUGGUAUGGGUCAUCUUCCCCACCACAAGUCUUUAGUAUAUGUCUAAACAUUGUAAUAGUCAAAAAUGAGGAUAUGUUUCUCUUUUUCUUGUUUAUUAAUGCAAACGUACUGGACAGUUUAUUUAAAUGGCCUGGUUUUGUUGUGUUGUUGGUUCGUAUCAGUGAUAAUAAUCGUGACAUUAAGAUGUGGUGACUCUGGAAAAGUCCACUUUUCAAAUAAGCACAGAUGAUGAUAAAAUAACAUAAAUACAGGAUAUCUUGAAAUAACAGAUGAGUCAAGAGUCAAGGCCACAGGACACUGACACAGGGCCAGAGGAGAGAUGUGGCAGACACUAACCUCCACCAGGAACCCUGUGACCAGCCCCUGCAACCACUGCUGACUACUGCUCCUAAAAAUAAUAAAGGGAAAAAAACAAGUAGAAACUAAAAUAUGAAUAAAACACAGACCAUCUUAAUGACAAUAAAUACAAAUAGAUAUAAAACAAGGAACCUAGGCUAACUAGAAUAAAUGAAGAUAAAACAAAUAAAUAUUAAUUAAAAGCUAAGCUAAAAAGUUGGGUCUUGAGCCUGCUGUUACAAACAUGAACAUUCUCUGAGGCCCUGAGGUCCUCCAGCAGGGUGUUCCAAAGACGAGGGCCUUAAUAUUGAAAUGACGCCUCGCUGUGGGUGUGUGUCCUGACUUUUGGAAUGACUAGGAGCCUGCUGCCAGAGGAGGGUAGCGUCUGAAAAGUUUCAUAAGGUAAAAGCAGCUCUGAAAGAUAAGAAGGCCCAAGACCAUUAAGACAUUUAAAAACAAGUGAAAGAACAUUAAAGUCGAUCCUAAAACACACAGGGAGCCAAUGCAAUGAUUACCACUGAUUACCAAUGAUUACCAUUAUUACCACUCUUAUUAUUAUUCGUAGUAGUAGUAGUCAUAGUAGUAAUAGUUCUUUGUUGUUGUUGUUGAUUUAAUUUUUACUAUUAUCAUUGUUAAUUUUUAAUAUGACUACUGUUGCUUAAUUUUCUGCAGCUGUUAUUCAGAGCUUAGAACUGCUCUGUCCUUUAAAGCGUGGGGAAGGAGAAGUAAAGUGGGAGGGUGAAAUACAGCAAACACAGGAAGCUCUAAUUGCAGGAAAUAACCUAGAACAAACACGUGACGUAACUUCACAUCAAAUCUGUGUUUUUUUUUUCUUCGUGUAUUGAAACAUCUGAACUGUUUCCCUUGUGAUUAGAGCUGCAUGAAGGAAUCACAAUUGCUUGGGAUUUUCACAGUUUUUGAUUUUGUGGCACACGAUAAUUUGUUUCAUACUAAUGUCCACAAAUUAUACCUGUUAAGAAAAUGAAUGUUUUGUUGUGUGAAACUAAACUUAACAUUUAACCCUUUUUAAAAAAGUGUGACCAGUUAUAGUUUACUGUCCAAAAGGCCUCCAGAGUCAUACGGCAGUGCUUUUUUACCUCCGCCAAGGAGGUUAUGUUUUUGGUAUUGUUUGUUUGUUUGUUUGUUUGUUUGUUUGUUUGUUUGUUUGUCUGUGAACAACUUUACGGAGAAAGUUACAGAUGGACUGACCUGACAAUUUCACCAGAGGUGCGUCUCAGCCCCAGGAGGAUCACAUUACAUUUUGGUGGUGAUCUGGAUUGCCUUCUGGAUCCAGGAAUUUUUUGAAGGAUUCUUGAUCAUUGUGAGAUAGGGCAAAUUUUUGAAUUUUUGCAUUUAACUCUAUAAAAAUGGCCAGAGUCUUUAGUAAAAAAUGACACAAAUGGAUCUCAAUGAGUUUUAUAAGGUGUCAAAGGUUGAUCCUGAUGCAGACAAAAUUCUGGAUACUGUGAUCCAGAACACACAAAAAUAAGGGGGUCGUUGGAAUUUUCAAUGCUGAAAGAUAACCAAUGGGCGGCACAGUGGUGUAGAUGGGCUGCACGAUGGUGUAGUGGUUAGCACUGUCGCCUCACAGCAAGAAGGUCCUGGGUUCGAAUCCGGGUCAGGGCAUUUCUGUGUGGAGUUGGCAUGUUCUCCCUGUGUCUGCGUGGGUUUACUCCCGGUACUCCAGUUUCCUCCCACAUCCCAAAAACAUGCCUAAGUGGGGUUAGGUUAAUUGGCCACUUCCAAAUUGCCAAUAAGUGUGAAUGUGAGCGUGGAUGGUUGUUCGUCUCUAUAUAUCAGCUCUGUGUUGAACUUGCGACUUGUCCAAGGUGUCCCCUGCCUUCGCCCGAAGAUGCUGGGAUAGGUUCCAGCCCCCCACGUACCAGGGAAUAGGAAUAAACGGUAGAAAAUUAAAAUGGAAAGAUAACCAAUGAAGAUACAAGGAAGUGUACUCUUACAAAUAUUGCAUAAUAAAUCAUGCAUUUAUGUAUCUAAUAUGAAUUUUGUUGUUUUAGGAACAUUAUGAACAGUGAACAUACCAGUUGAAACACAAAUAAAAGUUAAUAAAAGACAGUAACAGAAACAGUAAAAGUUUUGGUGUGAAUCACAAUAUAAGGGGGGACAUGAGCUGCUUGGCGGAGGUCUGCGCUCUCCGAGUGCUUUUCUAGUUAAACUUACACUCAUCUAGUUGUUGUCCUCAAAUUGUUGAGUUUAUGUUAAAAAGGUAGUUGAUCAAGAAAUAUGCUUGAAAAUAUCAAAUAAUAUAAUCAAAAGUGUAACAUUUUUGUUCACAUACUGGCUCAAAUUAGUGCAAGAAUAGUCCGUUCAGGUCAAGUAUUUAACCUUCAUACAUGCACACCCACACUCAUGGCACUGGCUCACCCUGCCUAUUUACAGUAAUCAGCUCACAGUCAUCCCUGAGAGGAGGGGUAGGCAGUAUUUCCAGUUGGUCAUGAACAAGUGUUUAUGAGCAGAUAAGGUGGCAGUUUAGAAGAAACGUUAAACCAUUUGCUGCAAAUAUUGCUGAUGAAAACUUUCACUUUUACCUGGGUGAGAAUUCUUAUUUUCUCUUUCAUACUGAAUGACGUUGUUAUAGGACACUUUACAUUGACUUCAUAUAGAUCAAAAGUAGAGAGGACUGGGACUGAGAACUCAAACUUUCAUUUCAAAACAUUUCAGUCCCUGUUUUAUUUCAAUAUUUGUAAACUGAUCAUGUAAGAAUUUAAUGUCCUCACCAUUUGUUAGCUAUUUACAGCCUUUUUACAACAGAUUAUCUUGUAAUUUCAUUUAGAGGCCUACAUAUAUUUAUAUAUAUAUCUCAGUUCAGUGCUGGCGCAAUAAGGGAUAGUCCAGAGCCAUUUAGGUUUAAAUGGAAAUGUAAGUUCCUAUUACCUUUACAGAUAUAAAAACACUCAAUAAAUAAAUAAAUAAAACAACCACAUGAUCACAGUGUCUGCCAGUAACCACAUGAGUCUGCUGACAGUUGCAAUGUACAACAGCACCACCAGCAUUCAGUCCUCUUCCCUGCAGAUUUACAUUUACCAUCCUGUGCUGGUAUGUGUUGCUCUGGAGUGGAUAUACCAGUUCAACCAGGGACAGCUCACCAACAACUAUAUCUACAUUGUCUUGAUCAAAACUAUUUAGUAACAAAAGCCCCACUGAGGCCACGUCUGAAGUGUUUUCCAGCAUUAUGGCAAUUGCCGGAACUAAAUUAUUCUGCUCUUGAUUAUUAUUAUUAUUAUUAUUAUUAUUAUUAUUAUUAUUAUUAUUAUUGUUGUUGUUAUUGUUAUUCAUAGAAGUAGUAGUUGUGAUAGUAGUAAAAGUUUUUUUUGUUGUUGUUAAUUUUACUUUCACUGUUUUCAUUGUUCUUAUCAUUUUUAUUUUUAAUAUUAUUACUGUGACUUAAUUUCCCAUUUUAGGGUGAAAUAAGAACGGUAAAUUGCUUUUUCAAACAAUAUUUGAGAAUGUGAAGUUACAAAUCACUUUGUAACUCAGUUAUAAAAGGUACUCUAUAAUUAGAGAUCAUGAUUGUUAUUGUUGAUUUAAAAUAGAACAAUUAUGAUCCGGCAAUUAUAUGUUAGUUUUUAAUCUGAUGCAAAAGAGUUGACACAAUGGCUGCAAAAGUGCUGAAAAGUUGUGAAAUGUUAAAUCACCUGAUAGGAAAUCCAGUUAGGUUAACUGGCAACAGGUUAUUGCAAUGAAUGGGUGUUGGGUCUAAAACCUGCCCAAAUACCUGAAAACAUAUAAAAAAGGAGAAAGACAAUGGAAUAUACUCGAGGAGAAUGGACAGAGAUCUUUCUUUUAGUUAUCUCAAUACCACUCUAAGGGUUCUUUCUCUGUCCGGCCUCUUUUAUUUAGGGUUGUCCCUGGUUACACAAUGUUUCUAAAAGGUGGGGAAAAUUGGGCAGUAAAGUAAGCACUCUCAUAAAGCAUAAUAAUGAACAACUUGUGAAUAUGUGAAGGUCAAGGCGGCAUCUAACGAGCUCCUUCUGAUAAGGGUAUCCUCCCCAAAACCUUCCCACGAUUCAUCCGCGGAGGAUACAUCACUCACACACCCACACCUGCUGAUAGGAAAGACACGUCACAGAAAACUGAAAGAAACAUUGUUGUGCUGUGUAGUAAAUCUAUUGGAGAGAGAAGUUAGGAAACACUCUUAUAUGAUAAAAAUACUCUUAUAUAAUGUAUAAAAAGAGGUCAAAGCAGUUUAUACUUGUAGUAUAAACUCUUACAUAAGAAUAUGAGGAAUAAUGAUAACUUCUAUAUACAUUUAUGCACAUUAUUCUAACAAUGGGUAUAAAAGGAGCAUCCUAUUUGCUAAGACUUUUUUUAAGCAAAAAUUGGAAACAGCUCACACUGUCACAAAACUAAACUGAUAAAGAUUAAAGAUAUUGGAAUUUCAUCAUUUGCAGAACAUAAAAUCACAGAACAUAAAAUACUAUGAAAAAAAUCUCUAUCCAAGAAAUGGGGUUUCCUCCCUGGUUCUGACCACAAGAGGGACAGAGGGGAAAGGAAAACAAAAACAAAACUGUCCUGUGGUGUGAGUCAUAUUCUGAAGUUGAUGGGUAACAGGGUUGUUAUAUAAAAUAAAAUCCCCCUGCACUCUG
rnacentral:lncRNA from 1 species